AUUGCUAGGCCCUCUCUAUUAUUGUCCAUGUCAAUGAAAUUGAAGGACUUCUUUAAUUAGAAGUGGAGGAUUUUCACCACGUAAGCUCCAAGGUAAAUAUUAUCCCUUCAUUCUCUUUCUUUAAAUUUUUAAAUAUUUUUUUCUAAAAAAUAUUAAAAAGUGCCCUAAGCACAUUUGAUAAAACACCAAAUAUAAAAAUAUAGUAUUAAAAGUAGUACAUUCAACACUUUAAAAAAUAUAAUAUAAUUUUUUCAGCAUAAAACUUUUAUAAUAUUAUUUUUUUAAUUUGUUACCAAGUAUGACUUUUUUUUAUAAAAAAAUAUAACCUAAGUACCUGGAAAUCCCAAGAAACCAUUUCUUAUUAAAAUAGGUCAAAGUCUACUCAUAAAUUUUUCUUGUAUGUCUUUUUCUUUAAUUAAUAUAUUAUAUAUAGAUGGAGAAAAAAAAAAAGUGAGUGGAAAAAGAUUUUACAAGAGUAGAUGAAGUAGAGUUUCUAGUUGUGGUGGUUGUUUGUAGACCAUACAUUAAUGUCUUGUGUGAUAUUUUUCCUCACAAUUGUUUUGUACAGUGUUGACCCCUAGUUUGUGAAUUAUCUCCAAAGUACACAAUGACAGGGCCUCCUUCACUGUGCCUGUUCUACCCAUUUAUUAGAAACCAACAAAUACUUUCUCAUUGGGCUUUUUAAAGUGGACAAUUAUUAAUUUCACCUUUUCCUUCUAAAUAGUUUCACCUAAUUUUUUUAUUUUUUUCACUUUGGAUAAAAUCUCUCACUUUCAUCUCCUUAUGUUAUAUCUUUGUCUUGACCUUCAUGUAAGCUUCCUACCUUGUUGGGGACCUUAUGAAGUGACAACAAAGAGAUGAAAUCUAUGUGCCAGUAAUAAAAAUAUAUACAAAGGCCAAAUCAUCUACAGUUUCAUGUGAAAUAAAAGGAAGAAAAAAAGGAAAUAGACAAUUAGAGAUUCUCUAAAUUUGCCCUAACAAUUUUAGAUUGUGUCACUUUUGGCUAAAAACUUUAUAAUAAUUUUUUUCAUCGAAAACUAUCCCUCUCUUUUGGAUGUUUUCUUAUUAUCACUUGUUGAAUUUAGAUCCUCUAUAACUAUUCUAUAGUGUAUUAGCACAAUAGAACAAUAAUAGAAAUUCUUUUUCUAUUUAGAGAGUUUGAAACUUAUUUCUUUUAAUCAAUAUACUAUUAGAAAAUUUUAAAAUAGCAAUUAAAGUUUGAGAUAGAAAAAGAUAAAAUUCAUAUUUAAUUUAUAAUUGUUAGAAAUAUCAAAUUUGAUAAUCAAAUUUGAUAAUCAAAUUUAAUUUUUUUGAACUAAUUACAAGUGCCUGAAUUUACUUAUAAAAAAAUUAUAUUAAAUUUAAUAAUUCUUUUUAAUCCUCCAUGUUAUUUUAACAUCUUCUAAUAGUGAUUGAGAGAUCAUGUUAGUUAUCUCUCUCUAAUAGAGUAUGUGUAUUAUCUUUUAAGUAUAUGUCAAAUCAUGUUGGUUAUCUCUCUACUACAUCAUCUCUUUCUAUUCAUUCAUAUUUUUGUCUCAAAUUCAUGUGAUCCUCCUAAUUUGGGGGUUAAGUUAACUGGUUAUAGAAAAAACACAUGAUGACCCAAGUAGUGGUCUCCUUUGUGUUCCACACUUUCCUUUCUUUCUAAUCAAUCAUCAAGAUGAGUCACAUGCUUCCUUGGCUUCCUUCCCUUCAUCCCCUCUACCUUUCCUUGUCCCAACUUACAAGCAACUUUCCAAAUGUAGGAUCUAACACAUAUUUAAGCAUGCAAUAAUGCUCAUUCCACAUGCAAGUUUAUGAGUCAUUUUUCAUUCUUCAAUGCUAUCAUUUAAAUCAAUAUACCAACCGAAUAUUUUCAUUGUUAACUAUUAAAGGUAAAAUGCUCAUAUAUUUUUAUAUAUAUUUUAAAUCUUCACACUUUCCGGCAAACACCAAAAAAACUAUUAUAGUAUCAUUCGGUUAAUAAUAUAAUUCUAAUUUUAACUUUCUAGACACAUGAUGCAACUACUAGCUAGUAAUAAGCAUUAAUUAACAACUUUUUGAAUCUUUUUAUAUACAUAUGUUUGUCUCAACUUUUUCGUACCUUUGAUUGCUCUUUCUUUAUAACAGAGACAGUUUUAAUAAGCUGAUUAGCCGGUUAGUGUUGGGAAAUCACUUGAAAUUUCUAAGUUUUUGGAGAAUUCCACUAUUAUGAAGUGAAAGUAUUUUGAAAUGAAAGAAAAUUAAUACGCACAAAGCUACAUAUAUUUACAGAGUCAUGCCAUAUCUAUAAAUAUAGAGAGACUUGUAAGAUGUUAAGUAACUCUAUUGUUAAGUGAUUAUGUGGAGAGGCUCACUUUUGUUUGAGUGAUCAUUUCUAAGAGAAAAAUCACAAUUUUUUUUAUUUUUUUUAUGUCAAAUAUCAAGUACAAGAAAAUAUUUAUAAAUACAAAUAGAUUAUUCUAUACACAGUUUUUGGAGCUUUUUAAUUAAUACAUACUUUUAGAUACAUUUUACAUUUUUUUCUGUAAUUAAGACACCUAUAGAUUCUUACAUAGAAAUUUUAAGUAAUUAUAGAUUUAUUGAAUUUCAAAUUUUUAAUGACGUUUUUCGCCUUAAUAUGAAAUUUUCUUCUUCGUUACAAGCAUGGCUUGCAGUGUUUGAAUGUUUUCAAAGGUCAAUUGCUUUGUGAAAAUAUUUGCAAUUUUAUCUUGAAUCUUCACAUAUUUAAGCUCACCUUUUUUGACAAUGUUUUCUCUUAAAUCUUUUUCUUGUGCAAAUUUUUUGUCUGUACAAAUAUUGUAGCUUCCUUAUAUGGCAGAUGAAAUUCCUUCCAUAAUCUCGAUAGUUAAAUGGUAUGACAAAUGCAUGAUGUCAUUGUCACGUACUCUAACUCACAUGUUGAAAGUAUGAUAAUAGGUUGCUUCUUUGAGCUACACAGAAAAGCACAAACACAAUCACCCAUGAAAAAUGUAAGAGUUAAAUAAAUUUUUAGUUCUAAAAAAGUUCAAAGUUUUUGUUUGAGUCUCUAUAAAAAAUUCUUAACUUUUUAGUCCCCAAAAAAUUAUUGAUUUUCCUUUUAGUUCAUACUUUUUUGUCAACUCAAGUGUAUCUUUCUAAUUUUUUUCAUUUUUUUUGCGGACAUCUUUAAGACAUUAUAAAUAUCUUCUUUACAAAUAUUUAGAACUUUUAAUCAGAACAUAAUUAAGUAUGAAUAUUUUAAGCAUUUGGUGCUUAAAAAUUCAUAUUUAAUUUAUAUAUUGUUUAAAAAGAACUAAAGUUUUGUGCGGGAGGUUUUUAUAAUAUUCUAAAUAUGUUUGCAAACAAUCAUUUAAAAAUUAUAAGAGUGCACAUGAGUUUACUUAAAAACGGGGACCAAAUACGAAAAUUGGAAAUUAUUAGGGACUAAAAAGUUAAGAAAUAUUUUAUAAGGACUAAAAACAAAAUGUUGAAAUUUUAUAAGGACUAAAAACUUAUUUAACCCAAAAUAUAAAGUCGCUAGGGCUCUUUUUAAUAUCAAUAUUUCCAAUAAAGUAGCUAAUACAAAAUUCAAAAGAGUUUAAAAUCAUUAGAAGAAGAAUAGUCACCCAUGAAAAAUAUAAAGUGACUAGUGCUCUUUUUAUCAUCAAUAUCUCCUUCAAAGUCGCUAUUGCAAAAUGUAACACCACAUUAUCUAGAGUUAAUGAUUUUGAUGAUAAUUGAGAUUAUCAUUAGUUUAUAUUUACCGUAUAUUUAAAUUAAAUGUUUGAUGUUUAGUAUAAAGGAAAAGGGUUUGUAGAACCACAAGGAAAAAAGGAAAAACUAUGAAAUUGUCUAAAACCUAGAUUCAAUAUAUCAUCACCAAGUCAGAGACAAGUCUCACUGCGCAAUGGAAGAGGGGUUCUUUGAAAUCCCUUAUGGGAUCACCUAUAUACUAACUUAUUUGAUCCUUAAUAUUACCCAUCAAUAUUUAACCACUCAAAAAGCUUUAAACCUAAUACAUAUAAGAGUUCUAGAGCCAUUUUCUAGUAGGUAAUUGGAUCAUAUAUUCACUUGAGUUUCCAACUUUGUGAACACAUAUAUUAAUCCUUAAUCUUUUGUUUUCUCUUUCUAAAAUCAUUCCAUCAUCAAAGCCACGUUUGGGGAAGGACUGGAGCAAGUUAGGACCAAAACUUCUCUUUGAAGUAAACUCACUUUUAAACCAAGGUAAAGGGUUAGAGGAAAUCGAUUGGGUCAUGUGUGUUAGGUAUAUAUGACAACGAGAUUAAUGAAGAAAUUGGUAAUAUAUGGUUAAAAUGAGCAUAGAGCUAGG
rnacentral:lncRNA from 1 species